UACAGAGGGUGCAAGCGUUAAUCGGAAUUACUGGGCGUAAAGCGUGCGCAGGCGGUUUUGUAAGCCAGAUGUGAAAUCCCCGGGCUCAACCUGGGAAUGGCAUUUGGGACUGCAAGGCUCGAGUGCGGCAGAGGAGACUGGAAUUCCUGGUGUAGCAGUGAAAUGCGUAGAGAUCAUGAGGAAGACCAGUGGCGAAGGCGGGUCUCUGGACAGUUCCUGACACUGAGGCACGAAGGCCAGGGGAGCAAACGGG
rnacentral:rRNA from 1 species